rnacentral:rRNA from 1 species
ACUUUCAGCAAUGGAUCUCUUGGCUCUCGCAUCUAUGAAGAACGCAGCGAAACGCGAUAUGUAAUGUGAAUUGCAGAUCUACAGUGAAUCAUCGAAUCUUUGAACACACCUUGCGCUCCUUGGUGUUCCGAAGAGCAUGCCUGUUUGAGUGUCAGUAAU